rnacentral:misc_RNA from 1 species
CUGAGUUUACAACUCCCAAACCCACUGUGAACACUACCUAUUGUUGCUUCGGCGGGCUCGCCCCGGCGCCCACAGCGGCCCGGACACAGGCGCCCGCCGGAGGCCCCCAAACUCCUGAAGUUGUGGCUGCUCUCUGAGUUGGUUGGCAUAAAGCAAAUCAAUCA